GCACGACUUGUUCUUGCCUUCUAAAGCAGAGAGGAGCUUUUGUGGGUAGUUCCUACAGGGAUACAUGGUAGAAAAUUCACCAAACCCAGUGCUGGAGUGUUUCUCUUCCUCAGAAGAAAUCAGAUGCUGUUCAGAGCACCAAGGCUAGAAUUUUACCCUGGUUCUCAUGCUACCUUGCACCCAGGUUGGAUCCUGAGUACAGUUUUUGGCAGGAAGCCCCAGAGAGAUUGGUGAGGGUGAUUUCCCAGGAAGACGCAGUGUGCUCUGACUUCUGUGACAGUGAGCAACGGGACCAGUGGAUGUCCAGAUGCUGGCAAUGAGACAUACUCUGGAGUCAGAAGACAGCGAAAAGAGAAGCAGAAGCCCCGGUGGCAAGAGUCUGAAGGAAGGAUGACUGUAGCCUGUGGAUUGUACUGCAGUAGGAAACUGUCCUAGCAAGGCUCCACCUUGCCCCAGCUUCAAGGUAUAUCGUCUCAAAAUGCAGGGGACUUCAGAUGAGUUUUGAGCACCCUUUCUUUUAUUAUAAAAAAAAUUCCAGACAGUUCAGCCAAUACUGACUAAGGGCUGAGACCAGUUCCAUGCUUUUCUGUCUCCAGAGGAAUUUGCUUCCAUCUGGAUGCCUGAAACGCUGGAAAGGAGGAGAACAUGAAACAUUGCUUGAAGACAAUGGCCGAGACAGCAGGUCCCACCCUGCACAGCCAACAGCAUCUCUCCCCUCAGCCCUGUCUCCUCUUCUGCAGUUGGGAUCUGCACAUUUAAGCCUGAAAUUGUCCUGUGAA
rnacentral:lncRNA from 1 species